UAACGGUACUAAUACUGUCCUAGUACUGGGAUCGUUAACGGUACUAAUACUGUCCUAGUAGUGGUACCGUUAACGGUACUAAUACUGUCCUAAGGGAGCCAUACCCUAA